rnacentral:ncRNA from 1 species
UUCCGGGUCUGUGGUUGCAAGCCGAUGCCAGUCGCAGGCAAAGCGGUCCACGUAAUCCAUCCAAAGCGAUGGUGAGCAUGGUGCGGUUUAGAAGUAAGACCGUCCGGGGCGCAGUCCGUGAUGGCUGUGACCCCGAGAGGAGUGCGUGAGGGCGCCCAAGCGCAGAGCUACCUCCCAGACGGCGAGUGUGGGGUCAAAGACCAGGUCAGCCGGA